rnacentral:rRNA from 1 species
GACGAACGCUGGCGGCGUGCUUAACACAUGCAAGUCGAACGGAAAGGCCCUGCUUUUGUGGGGUGCUCGAGUGGCGAACGGGUGAGUAACACGUGAGUAACCUGCCCUUGACUUUGGGAUAACUUCAGGAAACUGGGGCUAAUACCGGAUAGGAGCUCCUGCUGCAUGGUGGGGGUUGGAAAGUUUCGGCGGUUGGGGAUGGACUCGCGGCUUAUCAGCUUGUUGGUGGGGUAGUGGCUUACCAAGGCUUUGACGGGUAGCCGGCCUGAGAGGGUGACCGGCCACAUUGGGACUGAGAUACGGCCCAGACUCCUACGGGAGGCAGCAGUGGGGAAUAUUGCACAAUGGGCGGAAGCCUGAUGCAGCAACGCCGCGUGCGGGAUGACGGCCUUCGGGUUGUAAACCGCUUUCGCCUGUGACGAAGCGUGAGUGACGGUAAUGGGUAAAGAAGCACCGGCUAACUACGUGCCAGCAGCCGCGGUGAUACGUAGGGUGCGAGCGUUGUCCGGAUUUAUUGGGCGUAAAGGGCUCGUAGGUGGUUGAUCGCGUCGGAAGUGUAGUCUUGGGGCUUAACCCUGAGCGUGCUUUCGAUACGGGUUGACUUGAGGGAGGUAGGGGAGAAUGGAAUUCCUGGUGGAGCGGUGGAAUGCGCAGAUAUCAGGAGGAACACCAGUGGCGAAGGCGGUUCUCUGGGCCUUUCCUGACGCUGAGGAGCGAAAGCGUGGGGAGCGAACAGGCUUAGAUACCCUGGUAGUCCACGCUGUAAACGGUGGGUACUAGGUGUGGGGUCCAUUCCACGGGUUCCGUGCCGUAGCUAACGCUUUAAGUACCCCGCCUGGGGAGUACGGCCGCAAGGCUAAAACUCAAAGGAAUUGACGGGGCCCCGCACAAGCGGCGGAGCAUGCGGAUUAAUUCGAUGCAACGCGUAGAACCUUACCUGGGUUUGACAUGGAUCGGGAGUGCUCAGAGAUGGGUGUGCCUCUUUUGGGGUCGGUUCACAGGUGGUGCAUGGCUGUCGUCAGCUCGUGUCGUGAGAUGUUGGGUUAAGUCCCGCAACGAGCGCAACCCUUGUUCACUGUUGCCAGCACGUUAUGGUGGGGACUCAGUGGAGACCGCCGGGGUCAACUCGGAGGAAGGUGGGGAUGACGUCAAGUCAUCAUGCCCCUUAUGUCCAGGGCUUCACGCAUGCUACAAUGGCUGGUACAGAGAGUGGCGAGCCUGUGAGGGUGAGCGAAUCUCGGAAAGCCGGUCUCAGUUCGGAUUGGGGUCUGCAACUCGACCUCAUGAAGUCGGAGUCGCUAGUAAUCGCAGAUCAGCAACGCUGCGGUGAAUACGUUCCCGGG